GAUGAACGCUGGCGGCGUGCCUAACACAUGCAAGUCGAGCGAUCUCUUCGGAGAGAGCGGCGGACGGGUGAGUAACGCGUGGGUAACCUGCCCUGUACACACGGAUAACAUACCGAAAGGUAUACUAAUACGGGAUAACAUACGAAAGUCGCAUGGCUUUUGUAUCAAAGCUCCGGCGGUACAGGAUGCACCCGCGUCUGAUUAGCUAGUUGGUAAGGUAAUGGCUUACCAAGGCAACGAUCAGUAGCCGACCUGAGAGGGUGAUCGGCCACAGUGGACCGGAGCUAGGGUCUGGACUCCUACGGGGGGCAGCGUUGGGGAAUAUUGCAGAAUGGGCGAAGGCCUGAUGCAGCAACGCGGCGUGAGCGAUGAAGGAUUUCGGUUCGUAAAGCUCUGUCCUCAAGGAAGAUAAUGACGGUACUUGAGGAGGAAGCCCCGGCUAACUACGUGCCAGCCGCCGCCGUAA
rnacentral:rRNA from 1 species